AUGGCAGAGUGGCGCUGUCCGUAUUUCUACUCGUUGACUCUGCGGGUAGUGAAGACCGCAGAAGCAGCGAUUCAAAGUUUAUGACUAACUUCGCUGAAAACUUUAUCCAAAAUAUGAGAUAUUCACGUCUUUUUAUGUUUAUGGUGAAUGAAACUUGCCAGAUAAAGUUUCAGCCUUCUGAAGCUCAUUAAGAGCCAUUUGCAUUCAUGCAUGGAUGAGGGCAAACUAUCCAACCUCACUUUACUGUGUGUUGAGCGGGACAUAAACACUAAUAAGGACUAAGUGGUUGGCAUGUUUGCCACCGUGAAGGAGAGGAGGAUGAAGUUUUAAAACGGACCGUGAAAUGUACAAAGUUUGUUAAACUGUUCGGAUUAUUUUGUUCCAUGGAGGAUGGAGAAAUACACAAAUGGACUAGCGUUACACUAAACUACAGCAGUCUAAGCAGGGACAACAACUGAACAAGCUUGUCUCAAAGUGGCUUCACUGUAUGUUUCCUGAGACAUAGGCUUGCAUUUAGAAAGGCCCCUUGAGAAUGCUUUGCCCCCUCUGUGCUGAGAGUCCAGCUCCGUCCCUGAAUGAGGCAUAAUAGCAAUGUAGGCUGAAAACUUUGAUCAGAGGUGGUACCACUAUACAGCUGCCGUGACCUCAGAAGGGAUUUAUGGUAGAAUUGAGCACGUUGGGUAUUUUCUCUAAGGCUUCAUCUCAACCAUCGUAGGAGUUAUGAGACUGCAGGAGGCAUGCUUUGAAUAUCAAUGAGGAUUUGGAAGGUUCAUUGUUACUUUGGUUUUGUCUGUUGCUCCUUGACAGGUAUAAUUAUGAGCCAGGCACAGG